rnacentral:rRNA from 1 species
GAGGCAGCAGUGGGGAAUAUUGGACAAUGGGCGGAAGCCUGAUCCAGCAACGCCGCGUGAGGGAUGACGGCCUUCGGGUUGUAAACCUCUUUCAGCAGGGACGAAGCGCAAGUGACGGUACCUGCAGAAGAAGCACCGGCCAACUACGUGCCAGCAGCCGCGGUAAUACGUAGGGUGCGAGCGUUGUCCGGAAUUAUUGGGCGUAAAGGGCUCGUAGGCGGUUUGUCGCGUCGGGAGUGAAAACCAGGUGCUUAACACCUGGCUUGCUUUCGAUACGGGCAGACUAGAGGUAUUCAGGGGAGAACGGAAUUCCUGGUGUAGCGGUGAAAUGCGCAGAUAUCAGGAGGAACACCGGUGGCGAAGGCGGUUCUCUGGGAAUGACCUGACGCUGAGGAGCGAAAGUGUGGGGAGCGAACAGGAUUAGAUACCCUGGUAGUCCACACCGUAAACGUUGGGCGCUAGGUGUGGGGUCCAUUCCACGGAUUCCGUGCCGCAGCUAACGCAUUAAGCGCCCCGCCUGGGGA